rnacentral:lncRNA from 1 species
GGCCCACUCUUGCAUUUGUCUCAAAGGGGCUGGAAUUCAUCCCAUUGCACAUCUAAGUGGCUGAGUAGUGGCCCCCAAAGUGAUACAUCCAUGCUCGCCCCUCUAGAACCUGUGACCUGAUUCGGCAAAAAGCUCUUCUCAGAUGUGAUGAAGCAAGGAGUCUGGAGGUAAGGACAUCUUGGGAGUAUCCUAAAUCCAAUGACAUAUGAUCCUGUAAGAGACACACAGAGGAGCAGAGGAGUCAGGUGAAGACAGAGCAGAGUGAUGCCGCCACGGCCGAGGAGCACCAGGAGCCCCGGGAAACUGGAAGCUGCAUGGAAAGAUGGUCCCCAGAGCCGGUGGAGGGCCGUGGCCCUGCAGACACCUCGACUUUGGACUUCUGGCCUUCGGAACCAUGAGACACUAAAUGCCCGGGCUUGUUAGCCACCCGGUCUGAGGUGCUUGGCUACUGCAGGCCUAGGAAACUCGUACACACAUUUAUUUUUUCCACUUGACUCUUAAAAUUGUUUUCCAGCAAUUUUCCUCCACCUGCUAAGACUCAGAUCCCAAAGGCUGUGAAAGAACUCAUCAUUACUUCAGUUCCACAGAGACGUAUUAGAUGCCCACCAAGUGUUAGGCCCCACGCUGGGCCCUGGGGACCCAAGAAUACAGGGAGUUUAGGAGCCUGGACAGCUGGUGAAGGUGAUGGAAGGCGUGGCCCACACCAGCACUGGUCUGGAAUUUCCGCUUUGCAUAUAGAACCACGAAGUCACCUGGGGAUGUGUGUUCCCCAUCCCUUUUCCCGGUCUGCCCUUGGCAGCAGACCGUCUUCUUCGAACAUGAAUGAACAACCCAGAGACACCAAGACUUAACUGAAAGAGAGACACCGGAUCAAUCAACAGAAGAACCAGCUCAGGAGGUAAGUGAAGCAAUGCAGUAAAUAGACGGAAAAUCUAAAGGAACUAUAGUUUAUAUUUUCAGAGAAAUUUGAGGACAUCUGUUUUCUAAAAACAGACUGCUGUGAAAAGGAAGCAUUUUCAGCAUUUUGGAAAUUGCAAACAUGACUGACAAAUUCUGAAACUGUCCGUGAACUGGUUGAACAGUGAAGCGGAUGCAAUGACCCAGGAGAUCCUGCUUGGGGAAUUUCCCAGAAUACCGUGCAAGAGGACGAAGAGAUGAAAAAUACAAACAAAAAGUUACAAGUCAUGGAAGUUAGGGUUUUCAGCAUCUAAUAGAUGUUGGAGAAAACACUUAUCAUAGGGUUUGAGAUAACAGAAAAAGAGGAGAAAGCAUCUCUGAGCUGAUUGGUUUAGACUGCUGAGCAGAAAUAAAGGAAAAACAACACACA